GGUUCAGCAAUAUUCCUCUAGCUCCAGCACGAACUGUAUCAAUGCCAAUUGUACCACCAACUUUCCUAGUAUCAGCAAUAUAACGUUUCACCAUUUCAUCUAAACGAUCUCCUAACAACAAUGGCCUUCCUCGUUUCUUCAAGCUUAAUUCAGUCACAGGUAAGCUGUUUAUGUUGAUCCUACUCUUUGCCAACUCCACCUUAUACAAUUUUUUGAACUUCCUUACUGUGCUCUCAAUAGUAAUCUGCAACUCUCUACUGUACUUUAUUUUUGCAGCUUGGGUUCCAUUUAGAGAAGCAUAUUUUCCUAUUUCAGCCCUCUGUUUAGCAGUAUAACUAAAGUAAUGGCCACGUUUAGAUCGCCGUUUCUUGGCCUUAUCCACUUUCAUUUCCAGCACUUCUUUGUUGGCAGCUGCUAUAGCAGAGGAAGGCACAGAUAUAGAUAAAGAGCCACGAGGAUCAGGAACGUCAUUGUAUCCCUUAGAGACAGGCUUGUAGUACUGAAGAAUAGACAUAUUCUUUCUAUAGACACUUGCUUGAAAGUUGAAACACGUGGUAUAAAUACCGUUAUGUUAUUUAUAUCAUACGAAAAGGAAAAUUUUACUUUGUAAAGUUUUUAACAAAACUUAAUUUGUAUGAUAUUUUAUUUUUGCAAAUUAAGCAUGGAGUAAAAAUUUAAUUGCAGCAAAAAUUUCUGGAUAGACGGUAGUUAAUGCAGCAGUAGCUACUAAAGUUUUAUCAAUUGUACAAUUAAGUUUACAUUUGUCCGAAGGACAUUGAAUUAAACAAUUUGGUAACCUGUUCUGCAAUAUCUUGCAUAUCUUCCUUAAUUGCCCAAUUACUAUUUCCACAUAAAAUCUGACAUGAGAUAAUUAACGAGCUUUCUAAACUUCCAGUGCUGGCAAUUAAGCUUUUUUCCUUGUCAAGGGUGGAAUCAGUAGACGAGAAAAUCUAAAAACCCUGACUUUGCUGUUAUUGCCCUAUCGGAAAUAUGCCCACCCCAAGCUUGUGAUAUAUGAACAAUAUGGACCCAGUUGGUUUAAUCCCAAUUAGUACCUUAACAGUGUUUUGCUUCUUAAAGUUACUGUAUGAGGCUGCCUGAGAGCUAAAUCCAGCUGGCAUCUAAAUAAAUAUUUUAAAGCAGGUCUAUAGUACAUGUCACACUUGAGCAGUACUUUUAGAAGCACUGGGGCAUGCACUGAUGAAGUUUCUCAUCAUCAGGCCGUGAUAUUAGGCACUUUAGUUCAUCACUCAGAACAUCCAUCAUUUAUGGAAGAUGCCACUCACUCUACCUUUAGUUGUAUGAAGCCUUCUGGUACCCAAUCGAAGUCUCAUCAAAACAAGAAGGAAUUCAUUUAAUAAUUGAGAACAAUUUAACUCUGAAAUUUGUCUUCAUUAUUGGCUGAAUUAGCUUAAAAAUACACACAAACAAUUCAUGUGUAGGAUGACCUGUGUAAAAACAGGUUUUGGUAUCAUUGUUCUGGAGGAUAACUUCACUGAUUUUUUCUUUUUUUGUAUGCUGCUUGAAAAAGAGAUGAUAAGACAGAUUUAAUUGGACUUGCAUCAUUUGUAAAUGUUCCAUUAAAUAGGUAUUCUCUUAGAUGAACCUUUUUUUUUUCGACCUGCAGUUCGCCUAUUUCUAACUCCUUUGCAGUCAAUUCAUUUUCAUAUCUAGCAAUGCAUUCAGUCUCCAAUUCCAGAUCUUAUCCUUCAUUAUCAAUGUCAGCAAUGCCAUCUUUUUUUGACGAUGUUAAUGCAGUACUGUUGUCAAGUUAUUGAAGUACCUUUUUUGAUUCCAUCAACAUCAAUGUGCUUGAUACCGCUCCAUCACCUGAUAAUGCUCAAGCAGUACUGUCGUCAAGUGAUUGAAAUUCUCCAUUUGAUUCCACAGCUAUUGGCAAUUCAUCAUUAUCUCCUUUUUGCAAUGUCAUUGUACUUGCCAUGUCCUCUGCAUUACAACUAUUUUGCAGGGUUAAAGCAGUUCUGUUAUUAUUGUUGUCAUCACCGAUCAAAUCAAGUGAUUGAAAUUCUUCGUUUGAUUCCAUCACUAUUGGUAAUUCAUCGUUAUCCUCCUGUCAAAAGUAAUGCAGGUGAUACCUCUUCUUCAUUGUUGCUUGCAGUGAAGUCACUUGUCAAUUGGUCCACAUCACAUGCUCCAUCAAUGAGAGCUGAAUCAGCCUCAGUAGUACAUCUUUAGCUUGAGACAAAGUAUCAUUAGCUGUCGUUUGGGUAAGGACAGUAGGCAUAUCAUCCUGAAGCAAACUAGUAACCUGGGGAGUAAUACAUUUUUUUCUCAUUAACCUGUUUGCUUCACUUAACAGCUCUCCAGUAAUAAUCCUCUGUUGACUUGGUAUUACUACUUGUUUGGUAGGUAAAUAAUGAUGAUGCAUAAUGUGGAUGAGUUAGGAAUACAAAUAGUUUACCUGUUUGACACAUUAAAACAUUAAAACUAACUGAACAAUAAUAGUAAUGGUUACCUACCAUACUUGAAAUGGUCAGUACAGACUUUAGAAUACUUGCUGGGGUGCCAUUUAUCUCUUUUGAUGGCAGCAAUCCACUUUACUUUUCUUUCUUGGUCUGUGCAAAAGGAAUAAUACCUCGUAUUGUGCUUCUCUUGUCGAUUGUGGCACAAGCAAUGGGCAUUUUGAUGUAAAAAAUGGUGGAUUGAAAUAUUUUGAAAUUUUUCUUUUAUUGGUACACAAAUAUAGCAUCACAAACUAAUUCUUACUUAAGGGGUCUAUCUGAUAAUGCAUACUGGCACUUUCUUGGCAUUAAAUGCACAAAGUGAUCUAUCAUUAACUAGACUAGUAUGGGCAUGUGCUUAUUGCCAUAGCAAUGCCCAAGAGUAGCCAGGGCAAUAUUGCAGUAUCAUGGUGGUAAUACCUUACGGCACAAAGUGGUGGCAUGUAGUAUUGCCUAUUUUUAGUUAUAACAAUAAUAUUGAAUUGCUCAGUAUGCCAUGUAUUACUAUAUUAUCCUGACCUAGUAUACUGACCGCAUGUAAGUUUUAAGUAUAAGUAGCUUCCGUUGCUACAGACACAUAGGUCACCGAAGUUGAGGAAAUCAGGCUAACUGAGUAGUGGAAUACCAAAGGUAAAGUGUGGAAGUACUUGUGUUGAAGCUAGAUGAGAAUGGAAAGGCAAGUGAUAGUGAAAACACAGUGUGCUGUCUAUGCUGGGUCUCAGUAUCAGCCAAAUACAGCAAUACACAAGCAACCUCUACUUUCAUCUCAAAAAUCAGCACCCAGAGCAAUACCUGGAGGUGAAACCUAAAACAAAAGCAGAGACACCAACAAAAAAAGGUUCAUAAUCAAUCAAAGAAGCGCUCAAAAAAGCAGGAAGCUAGACACAAGAAUGCAAGAGAUUGACCAAGUCCGUAACUUACUUUUCGGGAAAAGAUAUGUAUCCCCUUAGUGUUGUUGUGGAACCAGGACUAAAUAAGAUGCUACGUGAAUUCAUUUCCAAGUAUGAGGUUCCUAAUUACAACUACUUCACUUGAAAUGCUAUUCCAUUAUCUAUUGUGAGGCUCUAAAGAAAAUUGAGCAAAAAUUGUUAAAUAAAGUUACACACUUUGCUAGCACCACUGAUUUAUGGACUUCGAGAGCUCUAGAUCUUUACAUCAGUUUUAUUGUCCAUUAUGUGGAAAGCAAUUGGGAUAUUCAAAGCAAAUACAAUAUUUGCCGUAUUUGCACAGGAGAAGUUAUAAUGGAGUUCCUGAAUAAAGCUCUCAUUUAUUGGAAUUUAGAUAUUACUAAGCAUGUUUGCAUAACAGUUGACAACGGUUCGAACAUCAGAUGAGCUCGUGCUCCACUUAGAUGGAAACAUUUGAAUUCUUUUGGACUCAACUUAGGCUUAGCAAUCAGGGGAGGUCUGACACAUAGUCGAGUAGAUUGUGUAAUAAAAGUGGUAAUGGGUGCUUUUACUCUUUGCUGGAAGAAAACCAGAGAUUGUAGAGAAGUACAAGAGGAGAAAGGUAUCCUUAGUUACUCAAAACUUAAAGUAGAUGUUGCUACUCGCUGGGGAUCUACUCUUGACAUUGUAUAGUUGAGCAACAGGAAGCUCUCAUGGUGGAUCAUGUAAUCGCUCAAUUUUCGCUUUAAAUGCUUGUUAUUUAGAGUCAGUGUCUUUCUAUUUUGAGACAUUUAUUAGGAAUGUUAUGUUAAAUGUUAUGUAAAACUGGAAGAACAAGUUUUUUUCUUUAGAGAGGAAAUCAGCUAUUUCUGCUAGUGGUCAUAGUGCUUUUGCGAGUGAUGCUUUGUUGAAACCAAGUGUAAUGUGUUCUAUAUUGCUGUUUCUUGUUGCAGCAACAGAUGUACAAUACCCUCCAUUUAUCCCCAUUUUGUGACCACAUCCUACAUUAAGUAUUGCUUUGUUAGCAACAUUAUGGUUAGUUUUAUUUGUUUUGGUUUUACUUAUGUCGAUGUGUAUGAAGAUUUGUAGCAAUUUCCUUUUUUCCUUUGGCAUUGAAUGCUUAUUGAGCAGAAUAUAAUCAAUGGCAAUGCUGUGGUACAAAGUUCUGGUAAUUUAUGAUCGAAUUGCUAUGGAGAGGUUUAGGACUAUCAUUUUUUGUCUUAGACUUGUCCAUCUUUCCUUAUUGCCUGAGCCACACAGAGGCCUGAAACGAGGGUAAAGCAGUUGUCUUGUCUGAGUGUGUGUUUACUUAAACUUGACUUUUGACUUAACACUGCUUUUUUGUGAAAUCCUGUUGAGUUUUAUUAUCAACACAGGAUUUCAUGAAAACUCUUUCCUUCAGGGAAAAUGAGUGACUUAUCUUUUCUAAGGCAGAAAAAGCCUACAAUGUGCCAAAUGUAGUCGGUAUAAAUGUAUCUUUUUGUGGUUUAAAAGUAGCAUGAGAAGUAAGAUGAUACAACAAACCUUAUCUUUCCAAUAAUGUGUAAGAAAUUGCUCCAUUUGACUUUUUUAAAAAGGUAUGAUAACCCAAACAUUUGAGUUUACACGAUGCUCUUUUCGAUGCUCUUUUCUGCAGCUGUACAUCAGGGACUGAAUAAAGGUUUGUAUGCUCCUAACAAAUCCAAUAUUACUGUGUGUUUGGGUUGACAAUGGCUUAAUGAAGCCACACCUUCAUUGGAGACAUGUUACAGCAGCGGUGCAGUCAACUUGCUAAAGUUGCAUGGGACUUACCAGGUACAUGUAGGUACGCAUUAAGUACUUUGGUUGUGUGUCAUCAUGAAUUAUUAAUUGGAUUUUUUUAAAAAGCUUUAUAAAUUGAAUACCUGAGUCCUUUAGACUUAUAGAUUUUUACUAAAGCUUGUCCAUGCCUUCAUUUGUCAGGUAAAAAGUUUAAAGAGCAACUCUAGGAAGAAGAAGCUUGCCAA